rnacentral:lncRNA from 1 species
UAAUUCCUCUCUCUCUCUCUCUCUCUCUCUAUAUAUAUAUAUAUAUAUAUAUAUUUAUCUAUUUCUUUGGGCUACUAUAAUUAUCCUUAUUUAUUUACAGCAACAUUAAGUUAUGCCCACUACAAAUGUUGUAAGAUAAAUUUCAACUUGAUCUAUAAAUGAAAUAAACUUUAAUUAAAAUUACCCAAACCAAGAACCUAAGGCAAACUACAGUAAAACAGUAAUAUAUCCCUGAAAAUACAUUCAAAUUUAAGCCAUCGAAAGGAACACAAAUUUUGCAUAAUCUCUAAAUACUAUACUUAAUUUCACUUUAAAAUGAAAGCCACACAGAUCGAAAUCAUAAACCCAUAGUUUCCUACAGAAAUUAUUUCUCAAUUUCAACACUCCGAUAUAAAAGAGUGAAAAAGAUUUAAGAUAUACACCUGACCAUCUUCCACCCCUCUUCUCUGCUUUCCAUUCUUGUCUCUAAUUUUCACCCGAUUCAUCUUUUCUUUUCUUUUCUUUUUUUUUUUGCCUCUUUUAAUACUGCUUCUUUUUGUUCUUCAACACCGCCUACUAUCCUUCUCUUCUCCAAGUCAAGUCGAGCAGCAACGCCAGAGAGGAAGUCUGUUCCUCCUCUCGAGCCAAGCUCCCGUCCGAUGCUUCUUCUUUCUCGAUCAUGGCAGAAGCAAAGCUUCCAUUUUGGUGUUUUGCUUUAUUUCCUCUUUCCUCGGCUUGCUUUUCCAGGUUUGUCGAAUAGACUUAAGAAUCUCUCUCUCUCUCUCUCUCUCUCUCCUCUGCGCGCACUGCCCGAAGCCUCCACCUUCUCUGUCGUCCUCGACUCUCCUCUCUCUCUUUGCAGGCUUUUUUCUUCUUCUUUUUUGUUGAACAGCGGAGGAAGGGGGGGAAAGAAGAGAAGGGAUAAUCUUCCCGAAACGUCACCGUUUGGGAAGAAAGAAGGAUGAAGUUGGGCUGGCCUUAAAUAAGCUGAGGCUUGAACUUUGGGUUGUAUUCAUUUAUUGGGUUUUGGGUUUGGGUUAAGUUUGCAUUUAAUCUGGGCCGAAACAGAUACUGGGUUCAUUUUUCUUUUUUCUAUAUUUUCU